AUUGAACGCUGGCGGAAUGCUUUACACAUGCAAGUCGAGCGGCAGCACGGGGGCAACCCUGGUGGCGAGCGGCGAACGGGUGCGUAAUACAUCGGAACAUGCCCAGUCGUGGGGGAUAACACUUCGAAAGAAGUGCUAAUACCGCAUACGUCCUGAGGGAGAAAGCGGGGGAUCUUCGGACCUCGCGCGAUUGGAGUGGCCGAUGUCAGAUUAGCUAGUUGGUGGGGUAAAGGCCUACCAAGGCAACGAUCUGUAGCUGGUCUGAGAGGAUGAUCAGCCACACUGGGACUGAGACACGGCCCAGGCUCCUACGGGAGGCAGCAGUGGGGAAUUUUGGACAAUGGGGGCAACCCUGAUCCAGCCAUUCCGCGUGAGUGAAGAAGGCCUUCGGGUUGUAAAGCUCUUUCGGCAGGAACGAAACGGCGAGCUCUAACAUAGCUUGCUAAUGACGGUACCUGAGGAAGAAGCACCGGCUAACUACGUGCCAGCCGCCGCCGUAAGAC
rnacentral:rRNA from 1 species